ACCGAACCCACAACCUCAUGGUUCCUAGUCGGAUUCGUUAACCACUGCGCCACGAUGGGAACUCCAGUUUUCCUGAAAUUUAAAGUGAAAACCAUCAGUGGGAUCUGUGGAGGUUUUUGGGUUUUUUGUUUGUUUGUUUGUUUGUUUUGUCUUUUUGCCUUUUCUAGGGCCGCUCCCUCAGCAUAUGGAGGUUCCCAGGCUAGGGGUCUAAUCGGAGAUGUUUCUGCAGGCCUACCCCAGGGCCAUAGCAAUGUGGGAUCCAAGCCGUGUCUGCAACCUACACCACAGCUCAUGGCAACACCGGAUCCUUAACCCACUGAACAAGGCCAGGGAUUGAACCCGCAACCUCAUGGUUUCUAGUCAGAUUCGUUAACCACUGAGCCACGGUGGGAACUCCUGUGGAAUUAUUUUUAAGAGAGACCCUAGAGAGAUACUGUCUCCAAUCUACAAUUAUGUGAGACCUAUAAGCUUGUAGUUUAUUUCUAAAAGUAAAUUAUUCUAUAAGAAACUAAAAACAAGGAGCUCAGUGAAUAUAUUUAAGUAAUGCUGCCAACUGUCUGUGAUGAAUUUUUUUUUUUAAUUUUACACCUGAGAGAUGUAAAAUUGAUUCUAAGUCCAUAUAUCAGAUGGUUAAAUGUUCUGAUUCAAUAUUUGGUGAAGGGCUGCUCUGUGACUUCAACUGUAUCUUAAUUAUUCUUUCUGCUAUGUCUAUUGUCUAUUGAUUUACUCAUUUCACUAAUGCAACCUCACGGAAAUCAAUCAAGUUCAUUUUCAAAAAUCCCAAUCUAAAGCCAAGACCAGGCUAAGGGUCGAAUUGGCAGCUGCUGCCGGCCUACGCCACAGCCACAGAAACCCAGGAUCUGAGCCGUGUCUGCGACCUACACCACAGCUCACAGCAAUGCCAGAUCCUUAACCCACUGAGCAAGGCCAGGGAUCGAACCUGUAUCCACAUGAGUAGUAGUAUGUCACAUAUAUUGCUCUAUACCUUGGUUUUUACUCACUUAGUAAUAUUAUAAUGGAAACUGCCAAAUCACCACAUCCAUAGACUGAAUCUAUAGCAUUUUUUUUUAACAAUUGCAAAAUUAAAUUAUGGCAAUAUACUAUAAUUUAACCAGUGGCAUAUUUGGAUUGCUUCCAAGCUUUUGCUAUUACAAGCAGGGCUACAAAGAAGCACCCGGGACAUGUGUGUCUUUGAAUACGUAUGUAAGCACAUUUGAAAGAUAAAUUCCUAAAUGUGGAAUUGCUGAGUCAGUGGGUAAGUCUCUGCAUAAUUUUGCUAAGUUGCUAUCUUGGAGACACAAUAUUACUGAUUGACGGUUUCACUGAUAGUGUGUUGUUGAGAGAGUUUUCUCCCACUAAUGGGUAGUAACAACUUUAUGACAUAUUAGAUUACUACUUGAAUUUGGGCUACUCUUCAGUUUUCUUGUGUCUGCCCAGAUAGGCUUGUAACAAGAAAUUUCUUUCCUUUUGGUGCAUGUCCAUCAAGGGUCAGCUAGGGGCUCUGCUCCACAUCUUCUUACUCAAAAACUCAGGCUAACAGGGCUGCGUCCGUCUUAAACAUUGCCAAUAGUCCUGGCUAAGGAAAAGAGGGCUCUGGAGAGCCUUGCACCAUCAAUAAAUACUGUCCAGCCUGAAAGUGACAAACAUCAACUCCCUUUACAACUCAUUACCAAGUAUUUGUUACAUGGCCUCACCUACUAUAAGAGGGCCAGGAAGUACAGUCAUACAUGUGCCUAGAAGGAAAGCUGAUAGUAUUUGGCAGACAGCAGUUACAUCUGACUACCAUAUCUCUACUCUGUUAAUCUGUCAAUGUAUGUGGUAAUAACACAGGAUUUUCUUUUUUGAUAUAUUUCUGGCUAUUCUCUCAUUUUCAUUUUUUCCUAUUAAACUAGGAUUAACCACCCUUCUCUGUCCAGAAAGAGCCAGAUUCUGUCAAUAUUUUUUAUUAUAUAUCUUUUUUUUUUUUUUUUUUUUUUUUUUUGUCUUUUUGCUAUUUCUUGGGCCGCUCCCACGGCAUAUGGGGGUUCCCAGGCUAGGGGUCAAAUCGGAGCUGCAGCUACCGGCCUACGCCAGAGCCACAGCAACACGGGAUCUGAGCCGCAUCUGCAACCUACACCACAGCUCACGGCAACGCCGGAUCCUUAACCCACUGAGCAAGGGCAGGGACCGAACCCGCAACCUCAUGGUUCCUAGUCAGAUUCGUUAACCACUGCGCCACGACAGGAACUCCAAGAAGCAGAUAUAUCUUUUUAGCUAUUUACAUCCUCUUUUGCUUUAAAAAAAAAAAAAAAAAAAAUUGGCUGUGCUUGCAUGUAGAAAUUCCCAGGCCAGGUUUCAAACCAACACCACAGCAGCAACCUGAGCUGCUGCAGUAACAACACUGUAUUCUUAAACCACUGAGCAAGGCCAGGGAUCAGACCUGCAUCCUCAUGGAUACUAGCCAGGUUCUUAACCCACUGAGCCAAAAUGGGAACUCCUGUUUUUUUUCUUUAAAGGAAUUAUUUAUUUUACUGUCAUCUGUAAAUGAUAAUUUUAGUUCCUUCUUUACAAUUAGGUUGGCUUUCUUGAAGGAUCAGAAAGGAUAUAAUCAUUUCUCAAAUAACAUACUUCCCUAGCCCGGGAACUUCCAUAUGCUACAGGUGUGGCAGUAAAUAAAUAAAUGUUUUUCUUUCCAUGAUUCUUAUUUAUAUUAAUCCUAAUAAUUAAAUAGAUUAACAUUACAUCAACAAUAAAUACUCUUUACUCCACCAUCUAGAAGCACUUAUCAGAUUUUUAAGAAAUAUAUUUAAUUUGUGCUCUGCAGGUGUCUGUUAUGCCCACCUGUACAAGAACCAAGAGCAGAUAAGCCAUUAAUAUAGAAUAGGAUCUGGCUCUAAAGAAAGAGGUUCACUGGUCCAUUAAUCAGACUUGAGAAGUGUUGAAAAUUAAAUAUCUGCAGGUAAUUAGAGUAUGGUUUUUGAGUAAUGUAGGCAUUGCUCUCGUAUUGCAUUCUGAUUUUUUUGUCGUUGUUGGUGGGGGAUUAGCUUUUUUCAAGACUUAGGCAGGUAUUAUAUUACACCUAGGGUUUACUUCAUAUUGAGGAUGAGAACUGCUCAUUGCUUCUCAUUUCUUUUCAUUACCUUGGUGUAAUUAUGGUGUAAAGUUCAAUGUAAGAGUAUUUUCCUCCCUUACAACUUGUUUUUCAUUUCAUUCUCCUCCUAUCUCAGCAUUACUCUGUGCUCUUUUUCGUACAACUAGUGCUCUUAAAAGUUCCAUCCUUAAUCACAAGACUGUGAAUUAAAUAGAUGUCAGUAGUUAAAGCCUAAUAAGAUCAUUUGUGAAAUUAUUGUGCAUGUAUGGUUAUGCCUGGGAUAGAAGCCCAAAGGGAAUGAAUAUAAGACAUCAAAUUUGAAUCCUUUACCGUCAUCAAAGUGAAGUCUCAUAGGGAGUUCCUAUCGUGGCUCAGCAGUAACCAGCCCAACUAAGAUCCAUGAAGAUGUAGGGUCUAUCCCUGGCCUCAUUCAGUGGGUUAAGGAUCCAUUGUUGGUGUGAGAUGUGGUGUACGUCACAGAUGCGGCUCAGAUCCCGAAUUGCUGUGGCUGUGGUGUAGGCCGGCAGCUGUAGCUCCUAUUUGACCCCUAGCCUGGGAACUUCCAUACACCAUGGGUGUGGCCCUAAAAAGCAAAAUAAAUAAAUAAAUAAAUAAAUAAAAGUGAGGUCUCAUAAAAAUCUGUUGGGGAAUUCUCUGGUGACUCAGCAGGUUAAGGAUCUGGCAUUGUUACUGCUGUGGCACAGGUUCAAUUCCUGGCCCAGGAAGUUCUGCAGG
rnacentral:lncRNA from 1 species